UGCCAGCAGUCGCGGUUAAACCAAGAAAUUAAGUCAUAUUUUACGGUAAAAAGAUAGUUAGAUAUUAAAAAUUAAAGAGUUUUUGAAUGAUUUAUGAAAAAGUAAAAUUUAAACAUAAAUUUUUAAACCAAUAAUAACUCAAAUAAAUUGAAUCUAUAAAAAUCUUGAGGGAAACUGGGAUUAGAUACCCCAUUAUUCUUGAUUAUAAAAAAAUAAAAUUUACCAGAGUACUACGAAUAAAAUAAAAUUUAAAACUCAAAGGGCUUGGCGGUGUCUUAGACCACUUAGGGGAACCUGUCUCAUAAUCGAUAAUCCACGUUAAACCUAACCUUUUUUUGCGUUCAGCUUGUAUACCGUUGUCGUCAGGUAACUUUUAAGAAAAUAUAAGUUAGCUAUAAAUUUUAAAUUAAAACGUCAGAUCAAGGUGCAGCCUAUAUAAAGGAGAGGAUGGGUUACAAUUAAUAUUCAUAAUUACGGAUAAUUCAUUUGUAACAAAUAAUUUGAAGGCGGACUUAAAAGUAAAUUGAACUAUAAAAAUAUUUUGAAUAAGGCUCUGAGAUGUGCACACAUCGCCCGCCACUCU
rnacentral:rRNA from 1 species